CUCACCUCGCAGCAUGACCAUGCUGAAUGCCCUCUUUGUGACUGAUUACAGUUAGUUAUCUGCUAUCAUGUAUGAAAUAUGUGGUGAUUUCAGGAUGCAAUUUUCAUUCUGGAUAUGUAGGAUUUGCAGUCUUCAGUCUGUUGGAAAGUGUCAGGAAGAAGAAAUCAGUCAUCUCAUGUCUGAAUUGUUUAAAAAGGAUGCUGCUGUUCCUGGAUGCUAUGCUAUCCAUCCAUGUCAUGAAGAUGGUCAUUAGAACAGUUCCUAUGGAAAAAGGGUCUCUCAUGCUCAUUGUUUGAGUUUCACACAAGAAACCAGUAAAUCACCAUUCUGGCAGCGGUGUUUACAGGAAGCAAGGAAGCACAGCCAGUCCCUUUUGCUGCAGAUAUGUUCUUUCCUCAGAGCUAUGUCACUUCUUCCUUGGACACAUGGAGAGCUCAUUUGCAUGUUUCAGACACGUGUGGAUACCCUCGUGUUCAAUUGCGUUUGCAGGGCCGAAGCAUUAUUCACUUUUCAAGGUAGGCUUUCUGUUUUCUUAUUUAGGAUUCAUGUUUUACAAGAAAGGAAAAAUAAUUUAAUACAUAUCAGCAUCACAAUGGAUAUCUUGCUUAAGGUUGGGAAUAGUAUAUCAAGUGAUUGUUACUGCACUAUUUUAUAAGCAGAAACAAACCCAAUGUAAAAAAAAAACAAACCUGACUUAAGUUUUGAAACAAUUUCUUUCAGUAUCUUGUAAAAAGAGAAAUAGUGAAGCCACCAAUAAACUCUUGUACUGCUUCAAAUAUAAAUCAAAAUGCAUUAAAAUCAAAAAAGUGACAACAUUUUGGUAUAGCAAUGGUCUACACUGAUGAAUCCUAACAAGUAAAUGACAAAAAUUUAUCAAUGAGUCAAAACACUGCAAUGCAAGACCAAUAGAAACAAGGCAUUAGCAACAAUAAAGUGUGAUUAACAGAUGCAGAAUUAUUAUCUUCCAAUCAAAUACCCACCAGCUAAAUAAUUAUUCACUUUGUGCAAUAUCCUUUGACACUUUCCAGAAGUAGGAUAGAUUAUUUCUCUUUUUUAGCAAGGAGUCUGGUCACUGAUUUUCAUUGUAUUCUUUUUUUUUCUUUUAAUAAUAAAAAUGGAUAGCUGAUUGCCAAUUCCAGUUUUCAGUCUGUGGUACAAAUAAUCCUGAUCUUAAAUGAACAAUUGGCAAAAAUGCUGACACUGCCCAAGACAGUGAGAGAAAUGCUGCUGGUAUCAGCAAGUCAGGUUCUCACACACCACUUUGCAAAGGAUGGAAUGGUGCCGAAUGCACCAUGGUUUUAGAAAGAGGAUUUGGUAGGUUCAACUUUCUUAUGAAACUGUGUAUUUGAAACUUCCUGUGUAAGGCAUUAUGAGUAUAUAAUUCAUUCUCUGGUUUCCAGAAUAGUCAUUCAGGUUUUUUUUUUAUACAGCAAAUAAACACUGGCUAACAGCUGUACUUCCUCCUAAGCUGUACAGCUCAGGUUAUCAAAGAUAUAUGACUUGGAUUAAAACUACGGUAUCAAAUAUUCAGAAAUCAGCAGGA